UGGAUCUCCAUAACAAUCUACUAUCCAAGUAUGUAAUCAAUCAUCUCAAGCAAAAACACACAAUACAUUUAAAGCAUGAUAAGGAUUGCUUCUAAAACCUGGCUCUUCUUUUGCAGAUUCUAGAAAAUAGCGAAGAACCGCCAGCUUUGUGUGCCCAACAAGAAACAAAUCCCAGCUCUUUUCAUGUAUGUAUUUCUCCAACUGAUCUCAAAUGAUACAAUUAGUGAUGGUCUGUUCGCUGUGAUGUUCACAUACUUGUGACAAUAUGCGUGCUUCUGUGAUGUAUGAUGGUAGCCUGUGUGGUGCUGGAUCAUUUGAGAUUAGUGUUGAUUAAUGGGGCUGUGUGAGGAUGUUGGAGGGAUCAUAGUAUAUUUUCUUAUGUCCAGUUGUCCAAUUUACAGUUGGUAUGCUGCCAAAAUUUAUAUCAGCCUUUGCAUGUCUUGGUUCUCAAUACUGUAAAUAGGAAAUUUUGUUUAGAACUUUGGUGACUUGAUGUAAUUCACUAAUUUUCAUUGCAACAGACUUGAGUGUAGUUCAUACUUUAUUUGGAAACGAAAAUCAUGACUUCUUUUGUGAUUAUGUGUAGAGUAAAAGUAAUAUCUCACAACCUAAGUUAUAUUCUGGGUUACUAGAGGUGUGAGAAGUACUUAACAUUACCCUUUUUAUUUCCUGGAAAAGUUUCAAAAUGCUCCCGUUCUUUGUGCACAUACCCUAGAAUAGUUUCACACUAUUCAAAUUACUGCAUUAGAAAUGAGUGACUAUGGCAACUUGAUCCUUAACUUAUAAUUCCUAUUUAAUUUCCUGUAGUAAGUUCUUAUUGUCAUGUUCCUACCUUUAAAGAUUUGUGAAUCUUACUUUUUAGGAACAUGGUGUUGCCUCAAGUGUUCCUGCUGCAAGUGUUCCUGAUGUAGACGAUGAAGGGAUGUUUGGGGGAUUUUUCAGUCAAUCUGGAGCUGGUGCACUCAGCUUAUCACUAUUGAGCAGCCAGUUGGUUCCUUGAUGUUCUUGGAUGUAUAGUGCGUGGAGUGCAUUUUGGUGCAUGUAUAGUUAACAUGCUGGUACAUGUUCUGUGAUGUAGGAAACUGUAGUUGACCUACAUCAGUCUGUACGUGCUAAUUGAGAUGCUUAAUCAAUUAGAUGUAGCAAACUCUAGCUAGCAAGCCUAUUUUUUAUCAAACUGUGAUGGCUCAUGAUGGCUGGUGGAUGUCUUGGCAUCUACUGUAUGCAUGUGACAAGUGAUAUCUAGAUGUAUAUAUUAAUUAUUUGACGUUAUUUUCAUUUCAUAAUUAUUGAUCCAUUUUGAAGUACUUUAAUU
rnacentral:lncRNA from 1 species